UCUGGUGUCAGCCGCCGCGGUAAAACCAGCACCUCAAGUGGUCAGGAUGAUUAUUGGGCCUAAAGCAUCCGUAGCCUGCUUUGUUAGUUUUCGGUUAAAUCCAUACGCUCAACGUAUGGGCUGCCGGGAAUACUGCAAAGCUAGGGAGUGGGAGAGGUAGACGGUACCCGGUAGGAAGGGGUAAAAUCCUUUGAUCUAUUGAUGACCACCUGUGGCGAAGGCGGUCUACCAGAACACGUCCGACGGUGAGGGAUGAAAGCUGGGGGAGCAAACCGGAUUAGAUACCCGGGUAGUCCCAGCUGUAAACUAUGCAAACUCGGUGAUGCAUUGGCUUGAUGCCAAUGCAGUGCCGCAGGGAAGCCGUUAAGUUUGCCGCCUGGGAAGUACGUACGCAAGUAUGAAACUUAAAG
rnacentral:rRNA from 2 species